AGAGUUUGAUCCUGGCUCAGGACGAACGCUGGCGGCGUGCCUAACACAUGCAAGUCGAACGGGGUUGAGCCCUUCGGGACUCAACUUAGUGGCGAACGGGUGAGUAACGCGUGAGAAACCUGCCUUUCAGUGGGGGACAACAGUUGGAAACGACUGCUAAUACCGCAUAAUGUAUUUUGGGGGCAUCCCUUUAAUACCAAAGCUUUAUGUGCUGAAAGAUGGUCUCGCGUCUGAUUAGCUAGAUGGCGGGGUAACGGCCCACCAUGGCGACGAUCAGUAGCCGGUCUGAGAGGAUGAACGGCCACAUUGGGACUGAGAUACGGCCCAGACUCCUACGGGAGGCAGCAGUGGGGAAUAUUGGGCAAUGGGGGAAACCCUGACCCAGCAACGCCGCGUGAAGGAAGAAGGCCUUCGGGUUGUAAACUUCUUUUAGUAGGGACGAAGAACGUGACGGUACCUACAGAAAAAGCAACGGCUAACUACGUGCCAGCAGCCGCGGU
rnacentral:rRNA from 1 species